AGGUGAUAUGAACCGUUAUAACCGGCGAUUUCCGAAUGGGGAAACCCAGUGUGUUUCGACACACUAUCAUUAACUGAAUCCAUAGGUUAAUGAGGCGAACCGGGGGAACUGAAACAUCUAAGUACCCCGAGGAAAAGAAAUCAACCGAGAUUCCCCCAGUAGCGGCGAGCGAACGGGGAGGAGCCCAGAGCCUGAAUCAGUGUGUGUGUUAGUGGAAGCGUCUGGAAAGGCGCGCGAUACAGGGUGACAGCCCCGUACACAAAAAUGCACAUAUUGUGAGCUCGAUGAGUAGGGCGGGACACGUGGUAUCCUGUCUGAAUAUGGGGGGACCAUCCUCCAAGGCUAAAUACUCCUGACUGACCGAUAGUGAACCAGUACCGUGAGGGAAAGGCGAAAAGAACCCCGGCGAGGGGAGUGAAAAAGAACCUGAAACCGUGUACGUACAAGCAGUGGGAGCCUCUUUAUGGGGUGACUGCGUACCUUUUGUAUAAUGGGUCAGCGACUUAUAUUCUGUAGCAAGGUUAACCG
rnacentral:rRNA from 1 species